CUGUGUGCGGCUUCGACUACAACCUCCUCUCCGGAGCUCCAGGCCUAAGAAAGUUGGAAGUGCGAAGACGUGAAGAAAAGCGCGAAGCCGUGAAGUGCUACUCAGCAAAGAGUUGUCUGUUCUAUUUGACUGUAAUAUUGUAAUAGCUGGUAUACCUAGGUUGUAAUAGUCUACAGAAAUUGUAGUACACUAAUCUAGUGUCAUUUGACGAGUUUCACAUGUUCUCUUGUUUGGAAUAUUUGAUUAUGAAUGUGAUUUGAUUGUGUGUGA